UGCUGAAAAUCGAAAGAAAUAGACUAUACCACACACAGGCGGCUCCAAAGCCAAUGCUACGAGAAGGGCUGAAAUGGUGAGUAAAUUAACUUGCUAUGUAAUUAUUUCUAUGUAGUAAAUAAUUCUGAUUUGAUUUUUAUUUAUAGAUGGCUCAGACUGGACAAAGGCCUGGACGAGCACAAAUAUACCUUGCUACUCAUAAGAAUCAAGAUGGAGUAUAUGUUAAUGAAGCAGCAAAAGAAAUAUGCGAAAAAAUUGAGUUAGCUUUAAGCCAAAGCACCAUAGACGAGUCUCAAAUUUCGCGAAAUGAUGUCGUCGGCAAGGUGCUAGGAGAAGAGCACUCUGGGAGGGUGAGGUGAUUGGGAUUAGGAAUUGUCCCCAGUAAAGUUUUUAAACAAGCAAGACCUCGUUUCAGCGGUACAAGUGCUUCAAGAAGUGAAGGUUCAUGUUCGUCCCAAUGUCAACAGAACCAUAAGAAAAUGAUAAAUGCUCAGGAAAAAAUGAUGAAUGCUUUCAAGGCAUAUAUGAUAAUGAAAGAAGGGACGAUACCAGAACAGUUUGCGGGGUUCUUUGCUUCUUCUUCGGCGGUUUCUCCUACAACACCAAGUGAUGUGGCGAGUGGAUCCCUUUCGCCCAUGGACGCAAGAAGAUCAUGCGGUGAUAGUAAUCCUAGUAACAACCGUUGAUUUCAUUGUAUUGUUUGGUAGGAACGGAUGUUAGAAUGCUGGAGUGAAUGUAUUGUGUUUAAAUUUAGUUUUUGAGUGAUCUGAUAAUGCUACUUAAAUUUUUAGUUUCAAAAGCUAAUGGUACUUUAUGAUAACAUUUGUGAUUUUACGAUAUGUUA